rnacentral:rRNA from 1 species
GCGAAGUCGCAAGACGAUGUAUAUGGACUGACGCCUGCCCGGUGCUGGAAGGUUAAAAGGAGAGGUGAGAGCUUUGAAUUGAAGCCCCAGUAAACGGCGGCCGUAACUAUAACGGUCCUAAGGUAGCGAAAUUCCUUGUCGGGUAAGUUCCGACCCGCACGAAAGGCGUAAUGAUUUGGAUACUGUCUCGGAGAGAGGCUCGGUGAAAUAGACUUGUCUGUGAAGAUGCGGACUACCUGCACCUGGACAGAAAGACCCUAUGAAGCUUUACUGUAACUUGAAAUUGAAAUUGGACUUUAUUCGCGCAGUAUAGGUGGGAGGCGUUGAGAAUACUCUUGCGGGAGUAUAGGAGCUAUUAGUGAGAUACCACUCUUAUAAUGUUAGGUUUCUAACUUUGAACCAUUAUCUGGUCAAAGAACAGUUUCAGGCGGGCAGUUUGACUGGGGCGGUCGCCUCCCAAAUGGUAACGGAGGCGUACAAAGGUUUCCUCUGAACGGAUAGAAAUCGUAUCUAGAGUAUAAAGGCAUAAGGAAGCUUGACUGUGAGACCUACAAGUCGAGCAGGGACGAAAGUCGGUCUUAGUGAUCUGACGGUACUGAGUGGAAAGGCCGUCACUCAACGGAUAAAAGUUACUCUAAGGAUAACAGGCUGAUCUCCCCCAAGAGUUCACAUCGACGGGGAGGUUUGGCACCUCGAUGUCGGCUCAUCUCAUCCUGGGGCUGUAGCCGGUCCCAAGGGUAUGGCUGUUCGCCAUUUAAAGUGGUACGCGAGCUGGGUUUAGAACGUCGUGAGACAGUUCGGUCCCUAUCUGCCGUGGGUGUAGGAGUAUUGAGAGGAUCUGUCCCUAGUACGAGAGGACCGGGAUGGACAGACCUCUGGUGGACCUGUUG